UGCAGUCGAACGAGUUCUCGUUGAUGAUCGGUGCUUGCACCGAGAUUCAACAUGGAACGAGUGGCGGACGGGUGAGUAACACGUGGGUAACCUGCCCUUAAGUGGGGGAUAACAUUUGGAAACAGAUGCUAAUACCGCAUAGAUCCAAGAACCGCAUGGUUCUUGGCUGAAAGAUGGCGUAAGCUAUCGCUUUUGGAUGGACCCGCGGCGUAUUAGCUAGUUGGUGAGGUAAUGGCUCACCAAGGCGAUGAUACGUAGCCGAACUGAGAGGUUGAUCGGCCACAUUGGGACUGAGACACGGCCCAAACUCCUACGGGAGGCAGCAGUAGGGAAUCUUCCACAAUGGACGCAAGUCUGAUGGAGCAACGCCGCGUGAGUGAAGAAGGCUUUCGGGUCGUAAAACUCUGUUGUUGGAGAAGAAUGGUCGGCAGAGUAACUGUUGUCGGCGUGACGGUAUCCAACCAGAAAGCCACGGCUAACUACGUGCCAGCAGCCGCGGUAAUACGUAGGUGGCAAGCGUUAUCCGGAUUUAUUGGGCGUAAAGCGAGCGCAGGCGGUUUUUUAAGUCUGAUGUGAAAGCCCUCGGCUUAACCGAGGAAGCGCAUCGGAAACUGGGAAACUUGAGUGCAGAAGAGGACAGUGGAACUCCAUGUGUAGCGGUGAAAUGCGUAGAUAUAUGGAAGAACACCAGUGGCGAAGGCGGCUGUCUGGUCUGUAACUGACGCUGAGGCUCGAAAGCAUGGGUAGCGAACAGGAUUAGAUACCCUGGUAGUCCAUGCCGUAAACGAUGAAUGCUAGGUGUUGGAGGGUUUCCGCCCUUCAGUGCCGCAGCUAACGCAUUAGGCAUUCCGCCAAGAAGAGUACGACCGCAAGGUUGA
rnacentral:rRNA from 1 species